AUAUUGUCACAAGAAAUUUCAAAAAAUAUAUAUAUAUACAUAUAUAUAUUUCAGUUAAUAAGAUUUCUAAUUAAAUAUUUGUUGCAUAUGUGCAAACAAACAAUUGUAUACGUACAUAAAAAAUUUUUAAACAUAUUUUUAUGUUAUACAUUUUUAUAUUUAAAAGUCCAUUUGUUAGAUAUGAUUAUGUCAUUGUUUAUACAUGAAGUAUAAAUGUAGAUUAGUUAAAAAUCACGUGAAUUUAUUUAAUCAAUUAAAUUUUUAUUUUUAACAUCUGUUCGCAAUAUACGUAAUUUAUCAUUGAUUAUUUUACAUUUUGGACGUUAUACCAUGAUGGAACACAUCAUAAUAUGUCGUGUUAAAAGUUGUAUUAUAAGUAAAAAAUAUCUAUUCACUUUGCAAAAUUUUGAAAUCAAAUGUGAUGCAGUUUUAUAUACAGAACUAUUCUGUAAAUCUAUUUACAAUUUGCUUUUUUGCUGUUACAUCAUAUUUCUAAAUAGCCAUUACAAUAUUUCUAAACCAAGUGUCGUGAUAUUUGAAUAAUGUAUUUCAUCUUAGAUGUGAUUGUACUUAAAAAUCAUUGUUCUAGGAUCUCUACUAUGUGUGCAGAAGUGCCUAACAGUUGUCACGUGAAUUGCAGAAUGGCAGUCAUUAGAAUUUGAUUUGGGAUCUGUGAUAUUUCAAGAUAAAAGCACUUUGCCUCAUAAAUGUUGGAAAGCAUGGCAGUGAUAACUAGUCAAUGCUCAUGGAGAUUUUUGCCUUUUAAAAGGUACAGUUGAUUGUAUAUUUGCAUUUUCAGGAUUAUAUUUUGUGCAACAUUUUAUCCAUAAUUGUAUAUUAAUAUCAGUUGUAUGUUUCUUAUGAAAUUUUAUUUUUAUCUGAAUAUACAUUAUGUUUAUUCUUUCUUGUGUGUUCAACCAAUCUAGUCUAAAUGUGUGCUUAAUGGAAAUUAUAAAAUUUUUACAUUGUUUUUGUCUGAGUUUAUAUGAAAUUUACUUAUAACCAUCCUGGAUCUGGAGGCAACUGAAAAGGGACUGUUUGAAAACAUUGUUCAUAUUUGCUCAUAUAAUUUAUGUGCAUAGAAAAACAAAUUUAUUAUCUAACUAUAUAAAAAUAGCUUAUCAGGUUUAAAAUUUCACAAUAACUCAUUUUGCAUUGUUGUUUUUUUGAAUAUAUGUCAAAAAGAUUUUUAAUUCAUGAAGGUGAUUGUAAUUUCAUUAUCUUCAUGUGGUUCUUUAAUAUAUAUAUAUAUAUAAAAGA
rnacentral:lncRNA from 1 species